rnacentral:rRNA from 1 species
UACAGAGGGUCUCAAGCGUUGUUCGGAUUCAUUGGGCGUAAAGGGUGCGUAGGCGGCGCGGUAAGUCGGGUGUGAAAUCUCGGAGCUUAACUCCGAACUGCAUUCGAUACUGCCGUGCUUGAGGACUGGAGAGGAGACUGGAAUUUACGGUGUAGCGGUGAAAUGCGUUAGAUAUCGUGAAGGAAGACCAGUGGCGAAGGCGGGUCUCUGGACAGUUCCUGACGCUGAGGCACGAAGGCCAGGGGAGGCAAACGGG